rnacentral:tRNA from 1 species
AGGCCCAUAGCCAAGCGGUAAGGCAACGGACUUUGACUCCGUCACUCGUAGGUUCAAAUCCUGCUGGGCCUGCC